rnacentral:rRNA from 1 species
UACGUAGGGGGCAAGCGUUGUCCGGAAUUAUUGGGCGUAAAGAGCGUGUAGGCGGUCCGGUAAGUCAGCUGUGAAAGUCAAGGGCUCAACCCUUGAAUGCCGGUUGAUACUGUCGGGCUAGAGUCCGGAAGAGGAGAGUGGAAUUCCUGGUGUAGCGGUGAAAUGCGCAGAUAUCAGGAGGAACACCGGUGGCGAAGGCGGAUCUCUGGGCCUUACCUGACGCUCAGGCACGAAAGCUAGGGGAGCGAACAGG